AAGAAUAAAAAACGUUUAAGAAAAUCGAUGAUGUGCCAUUAAAGCCCCUAUGUCAGCUACUUUGCUUCUUAGAAAACGAAAGCUAUUUACACGAAUUUUGCGUGCAACAAUUUUUAGAAGCUUUUAAAAAAAAUUAUGCGAAAACGAAUUAUGAGACACAACUGGGUGUGCCUUGAAAAUUUUUAGUGGAAAAACUAAGAAUUUAAGAAUAUGUAUAAGUUUUCCUUAUCAUAAGUGUAGCAUUUUAAAAUUUAAUUGGGCUUAUCAGCCAGUUUUAUUUGGGAUUCAAUUAAGAUAUCGCAAUCAGGUGAAACGUAGACACUUAAAAUCACUUUUGGCAUUUCUAUAUCAGAUCAGUUUCCUUCAUCAAUGACAUCAUCAACUCAAAAUUAAAGCAACAGACACGCGUUGAAGAUGCCGCUAAAUUGCCGACAAGUGCGACGCCGAGAGACAAUAACAAAAACAGAAAAAAAUGCAAAACAGAAAUAAAAAGAGAAAAGUAUGCGAACAGAACAGAUGCUGGAUGGUCACUGAACAAAUGAUGUCAAUAAAUCACAAUUCUUUCAGUUUCUUAGGUAAUUUAAUAAUGGUCAAAGCUUGUGUAUUUUCUAUUAUUCGGAUCCGGCUUCGUGCUGUAAGACUUCACGUUCAAUUUAUUUAUUUACAAGACCAAACUGAUAUCGUUAUCGUUUCAUGAUAAUAACAAGACAUUAAUAGCUCAUGCGAAAAGUCCAUUGUUGAGUAUCAAUGCAGUUGGAUUGAUAAGGUCUUCAGAUAUAUGACUAACAUUUGCAAACAAUCUACUUAAACUACUGCCAUAGAUAACAAUCUUCCACAUAACUUACAUUGUAAGCAAA